rnacentral:lncRNA from 1 species
AAUCAACCAUUCACCAUUGAUUACCAAAUGGGUAGUGCUAGGUUGAGUAAAUGGAAGGAUGGGACAGCGUAGAGAAAGGAGCAUUGUCCCAAUCCUCUGAUCUAAUUAGGUUUUGAUAUAUUUUAAAUGUAAGAAGUGGUUGCACUAGUAUGCAUACUCCAUUAAAUAUUUUGCCCUUCCAGAUUUCUUACAAAAUUUGAAAAGCAAAUUUCUUUGUAGUGAAGUAAAUCCAAGCUAAAAAGCCUCAAGAAGGCAUUGGUACUAUGUUUUGUUUGUUAAAGACUAUUCUUACUUGGCUAUGUGUGAUCCAUUGCAUAUCUCAAAUAUUCCCAGAUAUCUCUUUAUCUUGACAUAAGGUUUAUUAGUUGCGUGUGUAUCUAUUUGUAUCUAGGUAUGUGUCUCUAUACACAUACAUGAGUAUAUGUAUCUAUUUGUAUAUGUCUUAUCACUUUGUAUUUCCCUAACAUGUAUGUUAGCACACUCGCACAAUUAAUACCAAUAAUUUGCAGUUUUGCACACAUGUGAUAAGUAGUGACCAGCCCAAAACAUAAGAUUCCUAAUUUUUAGGCCCUUUUAAUAGUGUAGGUCAUGAUCAACAACGUGAGUCUUCAAUUUUUAGGCACUUUU